rnacentral:misc_RNA from 1 species
CCAAACUUGGUCAUUUAGAGGAAGUAAAAGUCGUAACAAGGUUUCCGUAGGUGAACCUGCGGAAGGAUCAUUAUCGAGUUUUUGAAGCGAGGGCUUGCUGCUGGUGCGGAAACGCACAUGUGCACGGCUUUCGCGCUCAAAUCCACUCAACCCCUGUGCACCUUAUAUCCUGUCGAAGCGAGUAGUUUGAGACCAAAGGGGGUCACCCUUAGUAGUUCGAGCGAAAGCUUUGGCUUGUAUUUAACAAACCACUAUUAUUGUCUUGUGAAUGUAAUGCUCCUUGUGGGCGAAAACAAAUACAACUUUCAACAACGGAUCUCUUGGCUCUCGCAUCGAUGAAGAACGCAGC